rnacentral:rRNA from 1 species
GAUGAACGCUGGCGGCGUGCCUAAUACAUGCAAGUAGAACGCUGAAGCUUGGUGCUUGCACCGAGCGGAUGAGUUGCGAACGGGUGAGUAACGCGUAGGUAACCUGCCUCUUAGCGGGGGAUAACUAUUGGAAACGAUAGCUAAUACCGCAUAAAAGUCGAUAUCGCAUGAUGUUGAUUUGAAAGGUGCAAUUGCAUCACUAAGAGAUGGACCUGCGUUGUAUUAGCUAGUUGGUGAGGUAACGGCUCACCAAGGCGACGAUACAUAGCCGACCUGAGAGGGUGAUCGGCCACACUGGGACUGAGACACGGCCCAGACUCCUACGGGAGGCAGCAGUAGGGAAUCUUCGGCAAUGGGGGCAACCCUGACCGAGCAACGCCGCGUGAGUGAAGAAGGUUUUCGGACUCGUAAAGCAU